ensembl:lncRNA LINC01823 long intergenic non-protein coding RNA 1823
AGAUUCUGAAGCUUUGUGUUUCUUGCUAGCUAGUCAAAGGUGACUAAUUCAUGUGCCCGUGUGACAGGAGCUACAAAUAUGUUCCAUGAGGUCCUGAGUUGACCAGCUUCUUUCAAGACGUAGGUCAGGGCAGUCACAUAGAAGUAUCAUGGUGACCUUGGGGAUGGUGACAGUGGCUAAAAGACGUUGAGAGAGACAGUGCAAGAGAGGAAAGCAUCUUCACCCUGGACCCUAAUAUGGAGACACCUUUGACUAGCUAGCAAGAAAGAUAAAACUUAAAAUCUCCCUCUCUUCUGUCGAAUGUGGGCGGAACACAGUGAUUCUGAAGCUGCGGAGAGUGGGAAGCCAUCCCCAGGGAAAUGUAAACACCAAGAGCAGGAUAGAAAAAUAAUACAUGCCAAAAGAAAUUUGAGGAACAAAUUCAGCCCUGAGACAGGUCACGGAAACAGCCCUCCAGUCUUCCUCAAGAAAUGUAGACUGAAUCAGCAUUUACCCACCCCUGGAAAAACGCAGGAGCUGCGCAUUCCUGGGAUCUCAGCAGGGCUUUUGGGAAGAGCAGAACUGGGCUGGAGUCACGGUUUCUGGGCUGACUCUAGAUUUUCCCCGGCUUUUGCCACCUGUGAUGGCUGGAGAGUAUCUGAAGAUGACAGCCAGUGUCCUUAGCUUGUGAAGAUUGGAUGAUGGCCGGGGCCCUCAGACCCCUUGGCCCCUCCUUAACUGCAGGUCUUCAAAAGCCCAACACCUGUUCGUCAUUUCUGUGGCUUCC